CUUGACAUCCAGCGAAUUCGGUAGAGAUACCUUAGUGCCUUCGGGAACGCUGAGACAGGUGCUGCAUGGCUGUCGUCAGCUCGUGUUGUGAAAUGUUGGGUUAAGUCCCGCAACGAGCGCAACCCUUAUCCUUUGUUGCCAGCGGUCCGGCCGGGAACUCAAAGGAGACUGCCAGUGAUAAACUGGAGGAAGGUGGGGAUGACGUCAAGUCAUCAUGGCCCUUACGAGUAGGGCUACACACGUGCUACAAUGGCGCAUACAAAGAGAAGCGACCUCGCGAGAGCAAGCGGACCUCAUAAAGUGCGUCGUAGUCCGGAUUGGAGUCUGCAACUCGACUCCAUGAAGUCGGAAUCGCUAGUAAUCGUAGAUCAGAAUGCUACGGUGAAUACGUUCCCGGGCCUUGUACACACCGCCCGUCACACCAUGGGAGUGGGUUGCAAAAGAAGUAGGUAGCUUAACCUUCGGGAGGGCGCUUACCACUUUGUGAUUCAUGACUGGGGUGAAGUCGUAACAAGGUAGGCGUACGUGU
rnacentral:rRNA from 1 species